UCGAACGCUGAAGCUCAGCUUGCUGGGUGGAUGAGUGGCGAACGGGUGAGUAACACGUGAGUAACCUGCCCUCUUCUUUGGGAUAACGCCCGGAAACGGGUGCUAAUACUGGAUAUUCACUGGCCUUCGCAUGGGGGUUGGUGGAAAGGUUUGUUCUGGUGGGGGAUGGGCUCGCGGCCUAUCAGCUUGUUGGUGGGGUGAUGGCCUACCAAGGCUUUGACGGGUAGCCGGCCUGAGAGGGUGACCGGUCACAUUGGGACUGAGAUACGGCCCAGACUCCUACGGGAGGCAGCAGUGGGGAAUAUUGCACAAUGGGCGAAAGCCUGAUGCAGCGACGCCGCGUGAGGGAUGGAGGCCUUCGGGUUGUAAACCUCUUUCGCUCAUGGUCAAGCCGCAACUGUGGGUUGUGGUGAGGGUAGUGGGUAAAGAAGCGCCGGCUAACUACGUGCCAGCAGCCGCGGUAAUACGUAGGGCGCGAGCGUUGUCCGGAAUUAUUGGGCGUAAAGGGCUUGUAGGCGGUUGGUCGCGUCUGCCGUGAAAUUCUCUGGCUUAACUGGGGGCGUGCGGUGGGUACGGGCUGACUUGAGUGCGGUAGGGGAGACUGGAACUCCUGGUGUAGCGGUGGAAUGCGCAGAUAUCAGGAAGAACACCGGUGGCGAAGGCGGGUCUCU
rnacentral:rRNA from 1 species